rnacentral:rRNA from 1 species
AGUAACGGCGAGUGAAGCGGCAACAGCUCAAAUUUGAAAUCUGGUCCCCUUUGGGGGCCCGAGUUGUAAUUUGAAGAGGAUGCUUUUGGCGAGGCGCCGUCCGAGUUCCCUGGAACGGGACGCCGCAGAGGGUGAGAGCCCCGUACGGUCGGACGCCGAGCCUCUGUAAAGCUCCUUCGACGAGUCGAGUAGUUUGGGAAUGCUGCUCAAAAUGGGAGGUAAACCCCUUCUAAAGCUAAAUACCGGCCAGAGACCGAUAGCGCACAAGUAGAGUGAUCGAAAGAUGAAAAGCACUUUGAAAAGAGAGUUAAAAAGCACGUGAAAUUGUUAAAAGGGAAGCGCUUGCGACCAGACUUGCGCCCGUCGGAUCAACCGUCGCUUGCGGCGGCGCACUCCGGCGGGCUCAGGCCAGCAUCAGUUCGCUCGGGGGGAGAAAGGCGGCGGGAAUGUGGCUCUUCGGAGUGUUAUAGCCCACCGCGUAAUACCCUCGGACGGACUGAGGACCGCGCGUAUGCAAGGAUGCUGGCGUAAUGGUCGUCAGCGACCCGUCUUGAAACACGGACCAAGGAGUCGUCCUAAUAUGCGAGUGUACGGGUGUCAAACCCCUGCGCGUAAUGAAAGUGAACGGAGGUGAGAGCUUCGGCGCAUCAUCGACCGAUCCUGAUGUUCUCGGAUGGAUUUGAGUAAGAGCAUAUUGGGCCGGACCCGAAAGAAGGUGAACUAUGCCUGUGUAGGGUAAAGCCAGAGGAAACUCUGGUGGAGGCUCGCAGCGGUUCUGACGUGCAAAUCGAUCGUCAAACAUGG